rnacentral:rRNA from 1 species
UUGGAGGGCAAGUCUGGUGCCAGCAGCCGCGGUAAUUCCAGCUCCAAUAGCGUAUAUUAAAGUUGUUGCAGUUAAAAAGCUCGUAGUUGAAUUUCGGGAUCAAUACGUCGGUCGUGCUUUUUUGGUACGCACUGGCGUCAUUGGUUUCUCCUUUCUGACGAACCAUGAUGUCAUUAAUUUGGUGUUAUGGGGAGUUAGGACUGUUACUUUGAAAAAAUUAGAGUGUUUAAAGCAGGCAUUAGCUUGAAUACAUUAGCAUGGAAUAAUGAAAUAGGACGUUCGAUCCUAUUUUGUUGGUUUCUAGGAUCAACGUAAUGAUUAAUAGGGAUAGUUGGGGGCAUUAGUAUUCAAUUGUCAGAGGUGAAAUUCUUGGAUUUAUUGAAGACUAACUACUGCGAAAGCAUUUGCCAAGGAUGUUUUCAUUAAUCAAGAACGAAAGUUAGGGGAUCGAAGACGAUCAGAUACCGUCGUAGUCUUAACCCUAAACUAUGCCGACUAGGGAUCGGAUGAUGUUAAUUUUUUAAUGACUCAUUCGGCGCCUUACGGGAAAC